rnacentral:rRNA from 1 species
GAUGAACGCUGGCGGCGUGCCUAAUACAUGCAAGUCGAGCGAACAGACGAGGAGCUUGCUCCUCUGACGUUAGCGGCGGACGGGUGAGUAACACGUGGAUAACCUACCUAUAAGACUGGGAUAACUUCGGGAAACCGGAGCUAAUACCGGAGAAUAUAUUGAACCGCAUGGUUCAAUAGUGAAAGACGGCUUUGCCGUCACUUAUAGAUGGAUCCGCGCCGCAUUAGCUAGUUGGUAAGGUAACGGCUUACCAAGGCAACGAUGCGUAGCCGACCUGAGAGGGUGAUCGGCCACACUGGAACUGAGACACGGUCCAGACUCCUAAGGGAGGCAGCAGUAGGGAAUCUUCCGCAAUGGGCGAAAGCCUGACGGAGCAACGCCGCGUGAGUGAUGAAGGUCUUCGGAUCGUAAAACUCUGUUAUUAGGGAAGAACAAAUGUGUAAGUAACUAUGCACGUCUUGACGGUAACUAAACAGAAAGCCACGGCUAACUACGUG